rnacentral:rRNA from 1 species
UGGGGAAUAUUGGGCAAUGGGCGAAAGCCUGACCCAGCAACGCCGCGUGAAGGAAGAAGGUCUUCGGAUUGUAAACUUCUUUUAUGAGGGACGAAGGACGUGACGGUACCUCAUGAAUAAGCCACGGCUAACUACGUGCCAGCAGCCGCGGUAAUACGUAGGGGGCAAGCGUUAUCCGGAUUUACUGGGUGUAAAGGGAGCGUAGGCGGCGGAGCAAGUCAGAAGUGAAAGCCCGGGGCUCAACCCCGGGACGGCUUUUGAAACUGCCCUGCUUGAUUUCAGGAGAGGAAAGCGGAAUUCCUAGUGUAGCGGUGAAAUGCGUAGAUAUUAGGAGGAACACCAGUGGCGAAGGCGGCUUUCUGGACUGACAAUGACGCUGAGGCUCGAAAGCGUGGGAGC